rnacentral:lncRNA from 1 species
AAACUUUAAGUCCUUGUAAAAGGGACUUGGAAGUCACGAGAAGAUGCAAAAGAAUUCAGUUGUGUUGAAUGAUUUAUGUCAACAGUCUUGUUCUACAUAAUUGUGAUAAAACAUUUACAUUUUAAAAUAAAAUGUCCAAAUCCAGAUAGGACUUUUAAAUAAAUUUUUUUCAUGUUCCAUUAAAAAAGUAUUCAAACUUUUAGCUGUAAACCAAUAAUAAGGUCUCUGUGUGCACAUUCACACAGUGAAUAAUUAAACAGAGUUAAAGCCUGGUGGUAGAAUACCAACCUAGCAUACUCAAGGACCUGAUUCAAUCCCUGUCACCACUGAUUCACAGUGGCAGUCUAAUGCACAAAUUACUGCCCUUAGUAAAAUACCUAGUUCUAGAAGGAAUCAUGAGCAAAGUAGUCUAUAAUAAUUAUUCUAAAUUCUUAAUAUCUAAAUUCUUUUUAAGCUCCUAGUGGUGGUAAAAUUCUUAGAAUUCUCUAUGAAGAAAAUGAUGAAUCUGAGGUGGAGAUUAUUCAUGUUACGUCCCCCAUGUUGGAAACAAGGAGGGCAGAUUCCUUUCGUUAUCCCAAAACAGGUACGGUCUUUAUUUAUUCAUUUCCUCCUCUGCUGUGCUGGCUCCUGCUGUAGUCCAGGUCUCAGAGGCUUGUGGGCUAUCAGGAGGGGGUUAUCAGGAGUUCCAGGCCAGCCUGGGCUACACGAUGAGUCCUUGUCUCAAAACCAAUCCCAGAUGUGCAGUCACUGAAGGAUGUAGUUAGCUUGAUCAUCGACAGCUUUCAUAAGGUUGUUUGUUCAUCAGGUAUAGUUUUGGAAUCUUUAAUUGCUUUCAGAGGUGGACAUGUUCAUAAAACUGGUACUUGAGGCUUCAGGAAAUCAGCUGGAGGACAUCUCUCCCUGUCUAAGAAGUUGGACUUUUGUCUGUUUGCUGUUUACAAACAUUUUAUUACAGAAACCAUAGGCAGUUUCCCUUAGUUUUCACACUGACUCUUUCUAGUAUUUUAGCCUUUUUUGUAUUUGCUACCUAUGUGAAUUUGAGGUAGGUUCUACGAUGUUUGCACAAUAGAGCCCUGGCUGUAUACAAUAUUACAGACUUAAUAAAAUCUGAAGGAUUUGUAGAGUCUUGUGAAGUCUUGGAGUGAUUGUGGUCCUAUCCUUUAUGUUUGUUUCUAAAGGCACAGCAAACCCAAAGGUCACUUUCAAGAUGUCGGAGAUUGUUGUUGAUGCUGCAGGAGGGGUAAGUGUCAGGCAUCAGCGCUCUAACUGUGACACACUCUCCCUGCUGAGGCCGUGUGCCUCAUGAUUUAUAGUUGACCUGAUAGUUUCCCCUAGGAGGAAUUCUCCCUAGUAGGCCUGGGAAGCAGGAUAUAAAGGGACCUGAGUUAAAUCCCAGAACUCACAUAAAAUAGCUUGCUGUUGUAGUAUGUGCUUGUAAUCCCAGCACUGAGGCUGUGAAGACAGACAGAUCCCUGGGGCUCUCUGGACAGCCAGCUUAGCCCGCUUAUUGAUUUCCAGGUCAAUGAAAGACAGUGUCUCAAAACAAACAAACAAACAAACAAUCCUGAGGUAUAAACAAAUCAUCUGGCCUCUGCAUACAUCCAUCACCACACAAACACAUUUCCCUCUUGCAGACAGUUUUGUUCUUUGACCCAGUUAUUACUCAGUCAUUGAAAGCAGUGGCUUAUCUUCCGUGUUGGGUGUGCAUCAGAUCUGUCCACUUCAAACCUUUCAAGUACUGUGUCUAAAAAGGUGACCUAAGGAGACUAGACUAGUGAGUGUGUUCUUUUCUGUCUUCUAUAACUAUAUUCCUUUUUCUUCCUACUAGAUUAUAGAUGUCAUAGAUAAAGAACUGGUUCAACCUUUCGAGAUUCUGUUUGAGGGAGUUGAAUAUAUUGCCAGAGCCGGAUGGACUCCAGAGGGAAAACAGUGCGUAUGUUAAAUUGUCUCUUCAUUACAACUAAGUUAGAUCCAGAGUUUAGAAUGUCAGUGCUGUAGGCUUUGCCUUCCCAUGUAAAUUGGCACUGUGUUCUGUCUGCUCAGGCCUUUCCCCUGAACUCAGUGAAUGCACAGAUUUGUAAGCAUAAACAUGCCAUUGUGAUUAUAGGAAUAAUUUUUUAAAGACCCUGUCUUAAAAAAAAAAAAAGAAUUGAUAGGUACUGAGGGGGGGGAACAGAAGGUUAUUCAUUUUCUGAGAGCUUGCUGUAGUCUUGAUUUCUCCUCGUUCCUUUGAACAGUGCCUGGUCCAUCCUACUAGACCGUUCCCAGACUCACCUGCAGAUAGUUCUGAUCUCCCCUGAGUUAUUCAUCCCAGUAGAAGAUGAUGCCAUGGACAGACAGAGACUUAUAGAGUCAGUUCCUGACUCUGUGACACCACUGAUCAUCUAUGAAGAAACAACAGACAUCUGGAUAAAUGUAUGCAUUUCUGAUCUUGAACUUGGCUGUGUAUUUUCUCAGGAUACUCAGGCAGAUGGAAUUCUAUAGCAAAAGGCAUCCUUAAGUUUAAGGGAGCUGUGAACAUUUUGAGUUGGAAUGAUGGUUCCAGAAUGGAGUAGUUUGUGGCAGGAAGUAGAUACUAUUGAAAUGGCAGCUCAGGAGUGCUGCAGCUAUGACCCUGCACAUACAGGCUAGUGAGCCCACAGCCUCAGCUCUGGCUUCUGUGCUUCUGAGAAGACCUUCAAGAGUUGUAUCUAGAAACUAUUUUUUAAGUUAGCAAACUAUGCCAAAUGUACUAGUUUUAGAUUGAGUUUUACAUUUUAACAUAAAAAUUAGAUAUAAAAUAAAAAACAUUUCUCUGUUUCUCUAUUUGAAAGCAGGCUUCCCGUGAUUCAUUCAAAACAGAUGAACAUCUGUUUUCCUUCAGCUGUUAGGAUAUCUCUCUUUGGAAAACAAAAGUAAAGCAUGCUGUCCUCCUUGCCUGGGUAGUAAGAUUUGUACGGCUAUAAGCUGUCUGUGCUUCAGAGAGGACAGAGAGAGGGAGGAUAGAUAGCCUUGGCCAUGUCGUUCUUUUUGCUGUCUUCCAUUUGGAAAUGUUUACACCUCAGGGUGUGAAAUCUUUGUCUAAAGUAAAAUAAAUGUAAAGGCCAGGCAGAAACCCAGCAUGGUUAAGUACAGCCUAUCCUCGCACUAACUGCUGAUGCUUGGUCAUCUAUGGAGUGUGUUUAUUAAUGCAUAUAGUAAAUUAAGCUGUUCAUUUUGCAGAUCCACGAUAUUUUUCAUGUUUUUCCUCAAACUCAUGAAGAUGAAAUUGAGUUUAUUUUUGCCUCUGAAUGCAAAACAGGUUUUCGUCAUCUGUAUAAAAUCACAUCCAUUUUAAAGGAGAGCAAAUAUAAACGGUCCAGUGGUGGACUACCUGCCCCAAGUAAGAAGCCUUCCUUAUUUAUGUACUUAAUGUCUUUAUAGUUUAUUUGUUUUGCAUAUAUGCAUCAUAGAACAAGGAUGUGCAGGUCAGAAGACAGCUUGUAGAAGUCAGUUCUGUCCUACACGUGUGAGUUCAUGAGUGAGCUUCAAAGAUGAAACUCAGGACAUCAGACUUGAUGUCAAGGGCCUUUACCCACUGAGCCAUCUCACCAGCCACAUGCCUUUUUAUAUUCUUCAUAAGCAUCAGGACUUGUUUCAGUAAACACAUGUAUUAACUGAAAUACCAGUCUGUGCAUGCAGAAAACAGCAAAUUCUCAAUGAAUACAUGUUAUUAAUAGUGGGUAAUCUCUGAGUGAUUAGAAUACCUAUUUUUAUGACAUCUUUGCCUUAAUUACAAUUUUUAAUUUGUUUGAAAUGAGCACACAAGUGCUUGCCUUGGCAGCAUAUAUACUAAAACUGAAGGAUAAAAGGGGCUCCAUGUUAUUUUUAUAUAUAAAUAACUUU